rnacentral:rRNA from 1 species
UGGGGAAUAUUGCACAAUGGACGGAAGUCUGAUGCAGCAACGCCGCGUGCGGGAUGACGGCCUUCGGGUUCUAAACCGCUUUUUCUCAUGACGAAGUUUUUUGACGGUAGUGGGGGAAGAAGCACCGGCUAACUACGUGCCAGCAGCCGCGGUGAUACGUAGGGUGCGAGCGUUGUCCGGAAUUAUUGGGCGUAAAGAGCUUGUAGGCGGUUUGUCGCGUCGAUAGUGCAAACUCAGUGCUUAACGCUGAGCCUGCUGUUGAUACGGGCAGACUAGAGGAAGGUAGGGGAGAAUGGAAUUCCCGGUGGAGCGGUGGAAUGCGCAGAUAUCGGGAGGAACACCGGUGGCGAAGGCGGUGCUCUGGGCCUUUCCUGACGCUGAGAAGCGAAAGCGUGGGGAGCGAACAGG